GGACAAAGUCCUCUUUAGUCUGACGCUCUGCCCUCUGGCCCACUGGAGUGGCAGUGACCCGUGUGCUCAGGCCACCCGAGCAGCUGUCUGUGAGGGCUCCAUGGUUCCACCGCCAGGCCCUGGGCUGGGGCAUCCUGCUGCUCUGAAACCCAAGAAGCAGCUCCCUGGCCUGUGGACCCCCGAGUCGCUGCUGGUGCCUCCGGGAGACACCACGCAGAUGGUCUGAUGGGCCGUCCACCUGGGGGAACAGCCAGACCUGAGCCACAGGACGGGGCUCUUCUUGCGGCCGUGAGUGGGAAGAGCCCUCUGCGGGAGGCUGGUGUGCAGUAGGGCGUCUGGGGACGCUGAAUGAGGGCCGUGGGUGUGGCCCCUGGAGGCUCUGCAGCAGUCCUGCCUGGCAUCUCCUGCAAAUAAAUGCAAAGCAAAACCAGACGGGCACCUGACCCCCACGGGCAAUGAGGAUGGACCUGAUUCUAGAGCCAGCAAACCGCAAGGGUGACAUUGCUCAGACCCGAAGGGCCCCCUCCGCCUGACUCUCCGCUCAAACGUUCCCUCCCCAGAGGCUUUCUCUGCGCCCUGUCCGCAUGUGGCGCUCGGUUCACCGCGCUGUUGCCUUCUCCCCAGUGUGUGACACAGGUGCCAAGAAGAGCGGCUCUAAUUUCACGGAAACGAGAAGAGGACACAAAGUGACCCCGUGCAAAGGCCAGGAGAGCCUGGACUGGACCUGGAGAAGGACGAGGGGAGGAGGACCUGCUCCAGGCUGCGCGGCGUGUCGUGGGAACACCCCUCAGGCUGCUGGCUGCAGCCUGAGCACCAAAGGUUUGCUGGGAUUCGACUUACAUGUUCGUUUUGGGUUUAUAUGUAGUUCACAUUAGUAUAUAUUUAAGUUAUGUGAUAAAACUAGUUUAAAUUGAUGUUAGUUAUUCAUGCAAGAAAUACUGGCAAAGACGCAUGUCCACAGCUUUGCAAUGUGGUGAAAACUGACCAGGAUAUGAUGCAUUGUGCUGUGAAAACCGGUACUCUCAUCCCCUACAGCCAGAUUGGGAUAGCUGCCUAUUUUCUUUCUUUCCUUUUUUUUUUUGCUUUUAAGGACUGCACUCAUGAUGGCAUGCAGAAGUUCCCAGCCUAGGGGUCGAGUUGGAGCUGUAGCUACGGGCCUACACCGCAGCCACAGCAACUCGGGAUCUGAGCUGUGUCUGCGACUUACACCAUAGCUCAAGACAACGCUGGAUCUUUAACCCACUGAUCGAGGCCAGGGGUCAAACCUGUGUCCUCAUGGAUACUAGUUGGGUUCGUUUCCACUCAGCCACAAUGGGAACUCCGGUAGCCGCCCAUUUUCAGGUGGACUUGACCUCCACAGCCCAUGUGACACGGACAAAGUGAGGCUCAGGUAUAUGGAAAUGCGUGGAAUCUGCAAGGCUGGAGACACACGCCAUCCAGCCAUGGUCCAGUCUCCCUUGAGCUCCUUUAAGCUCUUUGCUAGCUGGCUCCAUUCACACUCAUGAGCGUGGGUGCCCACAGAGCCUGGAAGUCACAUUAUGCCUCUUUUAUAGGUUAAUAAACGGAGCCUGAAGAGGUUAAGAGGUUUCCCC
rnacentral:lncRNA from 1 species